UGACCGCUCACGUGGCUUAAGUGGUUAAAGCGUCCGUCUCGGAUUCAUGAGGUUACGGGUUCGAGCCCUUGUCGGGUCAU